UACGUAGGCAGCAAGCGUUGUUCGGAGUUACUGGGCGUAAAGAGUGCGUAGGCGGUCCUGUAAGUUUGGUGUGAAAUCUCCCGGCUCAACUGGGAGGGUGCGCCGAAGACUGCAGGGCUUGAGUAUGGGAGAGGUAAGCGGAAUUCCUGGUGUAGCGGUGAAAUGCGUAGAUAUCAGGAGGAACACCUGUGGUGUAGACAGCUUACUGGACCAUAACCGACGCUGAGGCACGAAAGCGUGGGUAGCAAACAGG
rnacentral:rRNA from 1 species